CCUACGGGGGGCAGCAGUGGGGAAUAUUGCGCAAUGGGCGAAAGCCUGACGCGGCGACGCCGCGUGAGGGAUGAAGGUCUUCGGAUCGUAAACCUCUGUCAGCAGGGAAGAACGGUCACUGUGCUAAUCAGCAGUGAAUUGACGGUACCUGCAAAGGAAGCACCGGCUAACUCCGUGCCAGCAGCCGCGGUAAUACGGAGGGUGCGAGCGUUAAUCGGAAUUACUGGGCGUAAAGCGCUCGUAGGCGGUAUGUCAAGUCAAGGGUGAAAUCCCCGGGCUCAACGUGGGAACUGCCUUUGAAACUGGCAAACUGGAGUGUGUGAGAGGAUAGUGGAAUUCCAGGUGUAGGAGUGAAAUGCGUAGAUAUCUGGAGGAACAUCAGUGGCGAAGGCGACUAUCUGGCACAUAACUGACGCUGAGGAGCGAAAGCGUGGGUAGCAAACAGGAUUAGAUACCCGGGUAGUC
rnacentral:rRNA from 1 species